GAUGAAGAACGUAGUGAAAUGCGAUAAGUAAUGUGAAUUGCAGAAUUCAGUGAAUCAUCGAAUCUUUGAACGCACAUUGCGCCCCUUGGUAUUCCGAGGGGCAUGCCUGUUCGAGCGUCAUUUCAACCCUCAAGCACAGCUUGGUCUUGGGCUUCGCCGCUAACCCGGCGGGUCUUAAAAUCAGUGGCGGUGCCGUCGGGCCCUGAGCGCAGUAAUCUCUCUCGCUAUAGGGUCCCGGCGGAUGCUGGCCAGUAACCCCCAAUUUUCUAUGGUUGACCUCGGAUCAGGUAGGGAUACCCGCUGAACUUAAGCAUAUCAUAAGCGGAGGA
rnacentral:misc_RNA from 1 species